GGGUGAGGAGAGUAUCCUAAGGCCAGCGAGAGAACUGUUGUUAAGGAACUCGGCAAAAUGACCCCGUAACUUAGGGAUAAGGGGUGCCACCAUCAGGUGGCCGCAGAGAAUAGGCCCAAGCGACUGUUUACCAAAAACAUAGGUUUCUGCUAAGUCGCAAGACGAUGUAUAGGAGCUGACGCCUGCCCGGUGCUGGAAGGUUAAGGGGAUCUGUUAGAGCAAUCGAAGCAGUGAACUUAAGCCCCAGUAAACGGCGGCCGUAACUAUAACGGUCCUAAGGUAGCGAAAUUCCUUGUCGGGUAAGUUCCGACCCGCACGAAAGGCGUAACGAUUUGGGCACUGUCUCAACAACAGACUCGGUGAAAUUGUAAUUCCGGUGAAGAUGCCGGAUACCUGCGACAGGACGGAAAGACCCCAUGGAGCUUUACUGUAGCUUGACAUUGGGUCUUGGUACUACAUGUACAGGAUAGGUGGGAGGCUUUGAAACCAGGACGCCAGUUUUGGCGGAGCCAUCCUUGGGAUACCACCCUUGUAGUACUGGGACUCUAACCAUAGGCCAUGAAUCUGGUCUUGGGACACUGUCAGGUGGGCAGUUUGACUGGGGCGGUCGCCUCCCAAAAGGUAACGGAGGCGCUCAAAGGUUCUCUCAGUACGGUCGGAAAUCGUACGUAGAGUGUAAAGGCAAAAGAGAGCUUGAUUGCAAGACAUACAGGUCGAGCAAGGAUGAAAAUCGGACUUAGUGAUCCGGUGGUUCUGCGUGGAAGGGCCAUCGCUCAACGGAUAAAAGCUACCCUGGGGAUAACAGGCUUAUCUCCCCCAAGAGUCCACAUCGACGGGGAGGUUUGGCACCUCGAUGUCGGCUCAUCACAUCCUGGGGCUGUAGUAGGUCCCAAGGGUUGGGCUGUUCGCCCAUUAAAGUGGUACGCGAGCUGGGUUCAGAACGUCGUGAGACAGUUCGGUCCCUAUCCGUCGCAGGCGUAGGAAAUUUGAGAAGACCUGUCCUUAGUACGAGAGGACCGGGAUGGACGUACCUCUGGUGUACCAGUUGUCCUGCCAAGGGCAUGGCUGGG
rnacentral:rRNA from 1 species